rnacentral:rRNA from 1 species
AAAUUGAAGAGUUUGAUCAUGGCUCAGAUUGAACGCUGGCGGCAGGCCUAACACAUGCAAGUCGAACGGUAACAGGAAGCAGGUUGCUGCUUCGCUGACGAGUGGCGGACGGGUGAGUAAUGUCUGGGAAACUGCCUGAUGGAGGGGGAUAACUACUGGAAACGGUAGCUAAUACCGCAUAAUGUCGCAAGACCAAAGAGGGGGACCUUCGGGCCUCUUGCCAUCGGAUGUGCCCAGAUGGGAUUAGCUUGUUGGUGGGGUAACGGCUCACCAAGGCGACGAUCCCUAGCUGGUCUGAGAGGAUGACCAGCCACACUGGAACUGAGACACGGUCC